GAUGAACGCUGGCGGCGUGCCUAAUACAUGCAAGUCGAGCGAAUGGAUUGAGAGCUUGCUCUUAUGAAGUUAGCGGCGGACGGGUGAGUAACACGUGGGUAACCUGCCCAUAAGACUGGGAUAACUCCGGGAAACCGGGGCUAAUACCGGAUAACAUUUUGAACCGCAUGGCUCGAAAUUGAAAGGAGGCUUCGGCCGUCACUUAUGGAUGGAUCCGCGUCGCAUUAGCUAGUUGGUGAGGUAACGGCUCACCAAGGCAACGAUGCGUAGCCGACCUGAGAGGGUGAUCGGCCACACUGGGACUGAGACACGGCCCAGACUCCUACGGGAGGCAGCAGUAGGGAAUCUUCCGCAAUGGACGAAAGUCUGACGGAGCAACGCCGCGUGAGUGAUGAAGGCUUUCGGGUCGUAAAACUCUGUUGUUAGGGAAGAACAAGUGCUAGUUGAAUAAGCUGGCACCUUGACGGUACCUAACCAGAAAGCCACGGCUAACUACGUGCCAGCCGCCGCCGUAA
rnacentral:rRNA from 1 species